UGGGGAAUAUUGCACAAUGGGCGCAAGCCUGAUGCAGCCAUGCCGCGUGUGUGAAGAAGGCCUUCGGGUUGUAAAGCACUUUCAGCGAGGAGGAAGGUGGUGAACUUAAUACGUUCAUCAAUUGACGUUACUCGCAGAAGAAGCACCGGCUAACUCCGUGCCAGCAGCCGCGGUAAUACGGAGGGUGCAAGCGUUAAUCGGAAUUACUGGGCGUAAAGCGCACGCAGGCGGUUUGUUAAGUCAGAUGUGAAAUCCCCGGGCUCAACCUGGGAACUGCAUUUGAAACUGGCAAGCUAGAGUCUCGUAGAGGGGGGUAGAAUUCCAGGUGUAGCGGUGAAAUGCGUAGAGAUCUGGAGGAAUACCGGUGGCGAAGGCGGCCCCCCUGGACGAAGACUGACGCUCAGGUGCGAAAGCGUGGGGCAGCAAACAGGAUUAGAUACCCUGGUAGUCCACGCUGUAAACGAUGUCGAUUUGGAGGUUGUGCCCUUGAGGCGUGGCUUCCGGAGCUAACGCGUUAAAUCGACCGCCUGGGGAGUACGG
rnacentral:rRNA from 1 species